AUGCCAUGUUGCGGACACUUCACCAACAUACCCUUAAACCUCUACCAGGUUUCUUGAAAAGUCUCAGUCGGUUUCUGUCUGAAUUGCAUUAUCUCAUCAAUUUGCCU
rnacentral:snoRNA from 1 species